GUGUAAACACUUUUCGUUUUUAAAUAAAAAAUAUACAGAAAAAAUGAAAACAAUACAGAAAUAUGAUGUUACGAUUUAUAAGGACAUUCAUUUAGUACCAUAAAAAAAUAUUAUGCCCUUAUGAUUAAAAUUGAAGUGACCUUUUAAAAAUCCACAUCCCCAUAAUAUAGUACCGAAGCAUCAUGAAAACCUAUUCAGAAACAUACAUCCCCACCCUCACAUUCACCUGGUGGUGCAAAAUAUUUUGGCCUGGAUUGAAGUUCAGAUCAGAUCAGGUCAGUCCCCAAGGCGUCAGGAUGACAACAAUGUAUCCAACACAUCGCCCAAGCCAUCAGCACCAGUUUUGUGAAAAUAGCAACUGCAAGUGUCUGUCCAAUUGAAAGAAAUAAUGUCUGCUACAAGUCCUAUCUAACUCCAAACUUGGUGUCGACUAAUAAAUUUAAAAGCAACACAUAAGUAAAAAUCGGAGGACACGGAAUCUUUAAACAUUUCUACAAAGACUCACUGGCGUACUCAGAAGAGGCAGUGUGAGAGAGCCAUGCUUCGGCACGAAUGGGCCGGUUCAACCUGAGUGUACCACGGC